rnacentral:rRNA from 1 species
GAAUGCUGACAUAAGUAACGAUAAAGCGGGUGAAAAGCCCGCUCGCCGGAAGACCAAGGGUUCCUGUCCAACGUUAAUCGGGGCAGGGUGAGUCGACCCCUAAGGCGAGGCCGAAAGGCGUAGUCGAUGGGAAACGGGUUAAUAUUCCCGUACUUGGUGUUACUGCGAAGGGGGGACGGAGAAGGCUAUGUUGGCCGGGCGACGGUUGUCCCGGUUUAAGCGUGUAGGUGUGUGUUCCAGGUAAAUCCGGUUCACUUUAACACUGAGGCGUGACGACGAGGCACUACGGUGCUGAAGCAACAAAUGCCCUGCUUCCAGGAAAAGCCUCUAAGCAUCAGGUAACAUCAAAUCGUACCCCAAACCGACACAGGUGGUCAGGUAGAGAAUACCAAGGCGCUUGAGAGAACUCGGGUGAAGGAACUAGGCAAAAUGGUGCCGUAACUUCGGGAGAAGGCACGCUGACACGUAGGUGAAGUGAUUUACUCAUGGAGCUGAAGUCAGUCGAAGAUACCAGCUGGCUGCAACUGUUUAUUAAAAACACAGCACUGUGCAAACACGAAAGUGGACGUAUACGGUGUGACGCCUGCCCGGUGCCGGAAGGUUAAUUGAUGGGGUCAGCGCAAGCGAAGCUCCUGAUCGAAGCCCCGGUAAACGGCGGCCGUAACUAUAACGGUCCUAAGGUAGCGAAAUUCCUUGUCGGGUAAGUUCCGACCUGCACGAAUGGCGUAAUGAUGGCCAGGCUGUCUCCACCCGAGACUCAGUGAAAUUGAACUCGCUGUGAAGAUGCAGUGUACCCGCGGCAAGACGGAAAGACCCCGUGAACCUUUACUAUAGCUUGACACUGAACAUUGAGCCUUGAUGUGUAGGAUAGGUGGGAGGCUUUGAAGUGUGGACGCCAGUCUGCAUGGAGCCGACCUUGAAAUACCACCCUUUAAUGUUUGAUGUUCUAACGUGGACCCGUUACCCGGGUUGCGGACAGUGUCUGGUGGGUAGUUUGACUGGGGCGGUCUCCUCCUAAAGAGUAACGGAGGAGCACGAAGGUUGGCUAAUCCUGGUCGGACAUCAGGAGGUUAGUGCAAUGGCAUAAGCCAGCUUGACUGCGAGCGUGACGGCGCGAGCAGGUGCGAAAGCAGGUCAUAGUGAUCCGGUGGUUCUGAAUGGAAGGGCCAUCGCU